GACGAACGCUGGCGGCGUGCUUAACACAUGCAAGUCGAACGGUGACCUCGAGAGCUUGCUCUUGAGUGAUCAGUGGCGAACGGGUGAGUAACACGUGAGUAACCUGCCCCAGACUCUGGAAUAACCCCGGGAAACCGGAGCUAAUACCGGAUACGAAGUGGAGCCGCAUGGCUACUACUUGGAAAGUUUUUCGGUCUGGGAUGGACUCGCGGCCUAUCAGCUUGUUGGUGAGGUAACGGCUCACCAAGGCGACGACGGGUAGCCGGCCUGGGAGGGCGAGCGGCCACACUGGGACUGGGACACGGCCCAGACUCCUACGGGAGGCAGCAGUGGGGAAUAUUGCACAAUGGGCGAAAGCCUGAUGCAGCGACGCCGCGUGAGGGAUGACGGCCUUCGGGUUGUAAACCUCUUUCAGCAGGGAAGAAGCGAAAGUGACGGUACCUGCAGAAGAAGCACCGGCUAACUACGUGCCAGCCGCCGCCGUAAUAC
rnacentral:rRNA from 1 species